rnacentral:rRNA from 1 species
CCUACGGGAGGCUGCAGUGGGGAAUAUUGCGCAAUGGGCGAAAGCCUGACGCAGCGACGCCGCGUGAGGGAUGAAGGUCUUCGGAUCGUAAACCUCUGUCAGCAGGGAAGAACGGUCACUGUGCUAAUCAGCAGUGAAUUGACGGUACCUGCAAAGGAAGCACCGGCUAACUCCGUGCCAGCAGCCGCGGUAAUACGGAGGGUGCGAGCGUUAAUCGGAAUUACUGGGCGUAAAGCGCUCGUAGGCGGUAUGUCAAGUCAAGGGUGAAGUCCCCGCGCUCAACGUGGGAACUGCCUUUGAAACUGGCAAACUGGAGUGUGUGAGAGGAUAGUGGAAUUCCAGGUGUAGGAGUGAAAUCCGUAGAUAUCUGGAGGAACAUCAGUGGCGAAGGCGACUAUCUGGCACAUAACUGACGCUGAGGAGCGAAAGCGUGGGUAGCAAACAGGAUUAGAUACCCUUGUAGUC